AUGGUUUGCAAUGGUAGCAAAGUUACAGUUACGAAGUAGCAAAGAAAGUAACUUUUUGGUAAGGGGUCAUGGCAACAUGAGGAGCCUAUUAAAGAGUCGCACCAUUGGGAAGGUUGGGAACCACUGGCAAUGGUGUGAACUUUCUCUUUCGCAGGUGUCAGAAAUCCAUGGUACAUGGAGCAGCUGCCUCAGAACUGCCAGGAGCCCAUCAGAACCACACAUUUUCAAGCUGGGUGUGGUGACAUACCCCUGCAAUCCCAGCACACAGGAGGCUGAGGCGGAAGGCGUGUGAGCUUAAUGUUAGCUUGGGCAGCAAAACCCAGUCUGAAAAAACAAAGUGAAGAAGUACCCACUCCCCAGCCUCUACCACACCUCAGGCUUGCUGACUGGAACCCUGGCCACAGGCUGGAGGAUGGCUACCACAAGCAGGGUGACCUUCCCGCUGAGAUGACUAAGGUAACGCUAUCCUGUUCUGCCUCCAUUUUGUGUGUGCUUAGACAGUUCUCAGCCCUUUACACUUCUUCCCACAAAAGCCACGUCUACCUUGGCAGCAUGUUUGAGAUCUCUGUGGCCUUGACUAUGGUCCAGAGGUGUUAGAAUAAUUGGCCAGUUAUGUCUAAAAUACCUACUAUGCUCUGCCAGGAGUAAAUGUUUCAAGGUUACUCUGAGCCUCAUCUAACUAAUGUAUGUGUGUGGAUUUUGCUUUUAAAAACUCUGUACCAAGAAUCUUUUCAAAGGUUCACACCCCUCUUUGAUCUGGCCAUUAAUAAAAAGAACUUAAAAUUAUUGUCUUAACCAUUAUGGUUGCCAAUAAGUAUUUCUUGUGGAUCAUAACAUCGGAGGCCACGUGAGAUUUCCCACCCUCUGCUCCAUGAGACUGACCUUCCUAGUGCAGGAGAGGCUGCAGGGAAGGCGUCUCCUCCAGAGAAUUCCAGGGCUCACGGCUCUCAUAGAGUCUGGAGAGGUCCGGAGUGACUGCUGUGUUCCCAGAACCAAAGGAAAAAAAAAGAGUCCUUCUAUCACUGGUAGGAGGUGAGUCUGAAUACUGAAUUCUGGGUAAGGAGGAUGAGACCCCACGGAAACUUCUGGAUAAAAGAGAUAGGACCCGAAGAGGGUGGUCUCUUCAGGAUAAGACGGAUGGAUAUUUAAGGCCCUAGUCCUGGUUUAGGAAGACAAUUUUCUAUAGGGAAUUCUUUCCUAGUCCUCCUUCCUUACUAAAUUGGAACGUCGAUAGUGGGGACUCUGAGUUCUGCCUCUCAUGAGAGAUCUGGUUUCAGUUUUUCUUGAAUGGAUGGUUGGCUGGCCAACGUGUGGAUGGUUGAAUGCAUAAAAGGCCAAGUUUGACCCAGAGAGUUGAUUGAACGUGUGACAGGCCAAUUUGGGUUUGGGAGUUGUUUAAUUGAUUUCUUGAUUUCGCUAUUGGUGUUUUUGUUUGCCCAAUUGGUUAAAAUUCUGCUGCUUUUCCCGUAUUCUGUCAGUAGGUGGCACCCUCUGCCGUUAUUAGCUGCUUGUCUUUUGAUUUGCACCCCAGUGUUUCUCUCACCCGGGGGCCCUACAGUUGGGGGUCUGUCCCCAUUCUUGGCCUGCUUCACGUGACAACGUCCCCGGGACCUGGGCAGGCUGGAUUCUGUGUGGGCUCCCGCGAGGGUGAGGGAUGGAGCCUUCCGCUCUUCUGGGCUCUGCGUGGAGCCUGGACCUGGGCGGGUAGCCUUGGUGCUACCGCGCGGGGCGGCGGCUGCUCCCUUCGCCUACAGCCCUGCCGGCUUUCGUAGGAACCUUUUGGCUUCCCAGCUUGAGGGCUCACCAUGUCCCAUACUUAACUCACGUACCAGCCUCUCUUUUUCUGUCACAUAAGAUGCUGCUCCCUCCAGAAGCAGGGGGGCAGUGGUUUAAAAGAAGGGUGUCACCCUUUCCUUGGUCCCAGAGGCCCUUUUUCUAAUAAGCACCCCUCCAACUCUCUCAUGGAAUCUGUCCUUUGUGCCCGUUUCUCUACCUGGGAUGAUGUUUGUCAGUAAUUCCUUCUGACCGGUUAUUUCAAAGGAAAGGGAGUACACAGGCAGAGAUCUGAAUCGAGGUAAAGGGAGGCUUUUUUUUUUUUUUUUUUUGCUGCUGGUAUGGAUGCUUUUAAAAGCUACUCGAUUUGAGGCAGUGUUUCCAUCCAAAUGCCCCAAUUGGGACCCCACUACGUAUGCAGGCUGUGGACACUUGUCACCAGAAUCUUAUUACUAGAAUUCAGGGUGCAGCUUGCAACCUCUAAUUUGUGUAAAACUAAACUUCCGAGGUUCUUCCAGGUCCAGAAAAGUCUCCUGGGGGGCAUUUCUUGAGGACGGGGGUGGGGAGGGGGAAGCCUUCAGAUCUUACAUCUCUUUUGAUUAAAUAGCUCCGAAAAAAUGCGAGACCAUUAAGUUUGAUUUUUGUCACUCUAUCGGCUCUGGACAUCCGUAAGAAAAUCCCCAAAAAUCUAGAGGGCUUCUCAGGGAUGAAUACCUCUCAGUUCAUCAAGGUACCCCAAGAAGUUAAUAACUGAGACUCUAUAGGACAGGCACGAUGCCUUGCUGCUGCUGAGGUAGAUGCUUGAAGACAAGCGAGGUUUAUGCCGACUGCGUUCCAGUCAGCUCACUCUGCGUCCUACGGCUCAUCUGUACUGUUUGUAUCCAAGGGAAUAAUCCUCAAACGAAUAAACAAACUUGCCAAUACAGGGAGCCACGGGCACAGUCAAGGACAAUCACCUCACACCUAAACAGGUGACAGUCCUUUGUGGUGGUCUCAGGCUGCUCUUUCCCUCUCCUAAACAGAGGUACUCUUUGAAAACCAGGCACCACUGUAUAAAGAUAUGCCAUAUUUGUGCUCAGCAUACAUCUUGGUACCUAAUAGCUGUUUUGCCCUGACUCACGUUCCUAGAAGAUAAACUCUUGGGAACCCUGACUCCUUGACCCCCCCACCCAGAAAUGAACAGCCAUGAUCAUCUGCUUGUUAUGAAAUGAUUAACUGCUCAUUUCGGUUUUUAUAACCUGCUCAUGUAGACAUUCAAGGACUAUUCUGAAGUCAUCUUGACCAUAUAAUCUUGGCAGGAAGGAAAAGCUCUUCUGGGUUUCAUCUUUAAAAGACCUUCCUUUACCUGCCUCCGGGUAGCAUGUCUCUGAUUUGGGCCAAAGACUAUGGGUGACCCUGCUAGUGGCUUUAAUAAAUUUGAUGAAUUAAAAUCUGAAUUGAGCCUAGGGAUCUUUUCUGAGUGUUCUGGAACUCCAUGACACCAUUAUCACCUUUACUCUUUAAGAAACUCAAAUUUCCUUUACCCCUGCCUGCCAACUCAGCUUAACUGUUCUCUGUCUGAAGAAUAUCUUCUAGUUCUCCCAGAUGCAGAAACAAAUCCAGACCCAGGGACCCUGCUCCAGGAUUUGCAACAACAAUUCCCUAAGAUGCAGGCUGAGAAAAGUCCUCCUGGCAUAGCACUGCACCACCUAGCAGUUCUGGUGAGUCCCUUCCUACAGCCACAUCAAUGGGGGUCUGGCGAUACCUCUGGAACCAAAAAGCUCUACAUCUCAAGAGGCUGUGUGAAGGUAACUCUCUUACCCCAUGGCAGUUAGCUGGGACUCCGCCUUUCCUGCCUGUGCAUAAACCAGGGACCUCAGGUUAUCACCCAGUUCAGGAUCUCAAGGAAGCAAAUAAAUGGACAGAAACCAGCCUCUUACAGCUCCAAAUCUUAGCAGAUCACCAGAUCUAUACAGGCUGGGCUUUAAGAAUGCUUACCUCUCUAUUUCUUUGGUAACAGUUAGCUAGCCCUUGUUUGCCUUUGAAAGAUCAGAUCCAAUGUAUAAUGAGCCUAUCCAAUGAGAUCCAAUGUAUAACGAGCCUAUCCAAUGAGAUCCAAUGUAUAAUGAGACUAUCCAAUGAGAUCCAAUGUAUAAUGAGCCUGUCCAAUGAGAUCCAAGGUAUAAUGAGACUAUCCAAUGAGAUCCAAGGUAUAAUGAGACUAGCCAGCCAACAUGGACCAACUACCCGAAGAGUUCAAAAUUCCCCUACACUCUUUGGGGGAGGCAUAACAAAAAGACUUAACAGGAUUUCGGGUGUCCCAGUGCAGUUCGACUCUGCUCCAGUAUGUAGAUUAUAUUUUAUUGACAGGAGGCGAACACUGCCGUAUGUUUGAAAGUCAUAACGAACUUGCUCCAACGGCCCCAGACAUUUCAUCUCCAAGAAGGAGGCUCACUCCGCCAAACUAUCUAGCACAAGGUCACUCAAGGCAGGAUGACUCACACCUGUAAUGCUAACCCUUAGCUGAAGUGAGCAGAUAAUAGCCAUGAACGCGAAGUCGGUCUUAGCUACAUAGCAGGCUAUAAGGCUCCAUGAGACCAAGAAAUAUUCUCUGUGCCAGGUAAACCUGACAGCUUCUGCCGACACUGUCUAGGCACCACGUCAACUCAGUGAAGAGGGGGUUUAAAUGUUGACUUACAACGCUGAAGUCUUCAUGCCAGAGAGUUACAUUGUCAAAUUUUGAAUACAAGGAUAAAAUAUGCCCAGUUGUCUGGGGUUGGAAAGCAAGCUACCAUUGCUACAGAAUAGCAUAUGACAGGACUCUCUGCUGUGACAGAAAUAUUCCGGAUCUGUUUCAUUCACUAUGGUAACUGCUGGCUGAGUGUGGCUACUGGACACUUAACAUGUGAUCGGCUUAUGUGAGGAGCUGAACAUUAAUAUUACUGAAAUCUACAGCUAGCUUUGAAUAGUCACGCACGGGCAGAAUAGAGGGCGAUCAGCCAGUGAUCUCAGUGAUCUUAAUCGGAGAAGGAGUCCCCUCCCUCAGGCCUAAGCUGUCUCUGGUCACUGACCCUGCAGAAGUCUACAAGCCUUUAAGUAUCAUCGCUGAAAUAAAGGAUUGAUAGAUGCCCAGCCCAUGGCACAGGAGCAUGGAUCUCACUCAGAUUGGUCAGGAGAGAAGGGCAAGACCUCCAUUCAGCUUUGGACCAUUGUUCUGUGUGGAGAACUUCAUUUUCAGUGGCCGUAAGGCUGGAGGAGUAAAGGGAGGUUUCUAUAAAGGGUAUCCCUGACUCCCGAGAUGGUUAUAGUUUCCCAGAGAGACAAGAUUCUCAUGUGGUAGGCUAUUAACGUCAACAUCACCCCCUCUGGUCCAGAACCCGCCUCUGCUGUCCUUCCAGCUUCCUGUGUUCUUGGGAACCCGCAAUUGACUUUUAUUUUCUCUGUUAACCCACAAACUCCAUUCUGUCCACUCUGACACAGCACCUCAAAUACUGCAAAAUACCAUUUGUUUGGAGGUAAAGGGUGAAGUCAAAGGCGGCCAUGAUAAUCCU
rnacentral:sRNA from 1 species